rnacentral:rRNA from 1 species
UACGUAGGGACCGAGCGUUGUCCGGAUUCAUUGGGCGUAAAGAGCUCGUAGGCGGCCACUCAAGUCGAAUGUGAAACCUCGAGGCUUAACCUCGAGCCUGCAUUCGAUACUGGGCGGCUAGAGUCUGGUAGGGGGAUCUGGAAUUCCCGGUGUAGUAGUGAAAUGCGUAGAUAUCGGGAGGAACACCAGUGGCGAAGGCGACUUUCUGGCUGCUAACUGACGCUGUGGCGCGAAAGCUAGGGGAGCGAACGGG